rnacentral:rRNA from 1 species
GUGCCAGCAGCCGCGGUAAGACAGAGGGGGCAAGCGUUGCUCGGAAUCACUGGGCGUAAAGGGCGUGUAGGCGGGAGCGUGAGUCGGUCGUGAAAGCCUUCGGCUCAACCGAAGAAGGGCGGCCGAUACUGCGUUCCUUGAGGGGUGGAGAGGAGACUGGAAUUCCCGGUGUAGCGGUGAAAUGUGUAGAUAUCGGGAGGAACACCGGUGGCGAAGGCGGGUCUCUGGCCACACCCUGACGCUGAGGCGCGAAAGCGUGGGGAGCAAACGGGAUUAGAUACCCCAGUAGUCC